rnacentral:lncRNA from 1 species
CUACAUGAAAUUCGAUUUAAGCCUAGCACUGAAGCUCAUCAUUGAGACCAUACCAAUGAAUUGGGAACUCUACCUCUUUAUUAUUAUUUCAUAUUUUUAUGUGCAAAAAACUUCUGUCUUUUGCUUGUGAAGAAGCUUCUGGGAACUUCACGGAUUGAGGGAGGAUUUUCUCUCUGUUCUGGUUUGAAUGGCCUCGGUUCAGUUGCAGCUGAGCCUGAGACCGCCACCGCCAACGGACAGUUGGCAGUAGCCACGGCCU